UACGAAGGGUGCAAGCGUUAAUCGGAAUUACUGGGCGUAAAGGGUGCGUAGGCGGUUGUUUAAGUCUGUCGUGAAAUCCCCGGGCUCAACCUGGGAAUGGCAAUGGAUACUGGCAGGCUAGAGUGUGUCAGAGGAUGGUGGAAUUCCCGGUGUAGCGGUGAAAUGCGUAGAGAUCGGGAGGAACAUCAGUGGCGAAGGCGGCCAUCUGGGACAACACUGACGCUGAAGCACGAAAGCGUGGGGAGCAAACAGG
rnacentral:rRNA from 1 species